UGACGNGGGCCCGCACAAGCGGUGGAGCAUGUGGUUUAAUUCGAUGCAACGCGAAGAACCUUACCUGGCCUUGACAUACUAGAAACUUUCCAGAGAUGGAUUGGUGCCUUCNGGAAUCUAGAUACAGGUGCUGCAUGGCUGUCGUCAGCUCGUGUCGUGAGAUGUUGGGUUAAGUCCCGCAACGAGCGCAACCCUUUUCCUUACUUGCCAGCAUUUCGGAUGGGAACUUUAAGGAUACUGCCAGUGACAAACUGGAGGAAGGCGGGGACGACGUCAAGUCAUCAUGGCCCUUACGGCCAGGGCUACACACGUGCUACAAUGGUCGGUACAAAGGGUUGCUACCUAGCGAUAGGAUGCUAAUCUCAAAAAGCCGAUCGUAGUCCGGAUUGGAGUCUGCAACUCGACUCCACGAAGUCGGAAUCGCUAGUAAUCGCGGAUCAGAAUGCCGCGGUGAAUACGUUCCCGGGCCUUGUACACACCGCCCGUCACACCAUGGGAGUUUGUUGCACCAGAAGUAGGUAGUCUAACCUUAGGGGGGACGCUUACCACGG
rnacentral:rRNA from 1 species